UUACAAGCGUGAGCCACUGCACCUGGCCAGCUCACCAUAAUGUUUUAAAGUCCAAUAAAAUGGAUGUUAACUGCAGUAGGAGCAUAGGUUUAUUUAGGAAAGUUAAGUGACAUAGUAACAUUUUUACAAAAAAGAGGAUAUUUACGAGGCCUCUUUCUGUGAGGAGACCCUGUCCUGGAGUGAUGUCCUGCAUUUGUGUGCUGCCUGUGUGAACACACUGCCUACUUCACAGUGAUGAGGGUGGCUUAGCCACAGACCCGAGGCUGUGUCUCCCAGGGCUCUCCUGAUGGUCUUCUUUGCCUCCUUCACCACCAAGGAGGGUGGCCCAACAGCAGCUCAGCCCGUGCUCUCACCCACCUCCUCCACACACGCCAGCCCUGUGUGCUCAGCACCCAAGGCUGCCAGAGGUCCUUCAGCAGCUCCCACGGCUGACAAUGACUCUAUGUUUCCUAGUGACGGAGGCCAGUGUGGUGUCCCCAGAAGUGGCCCUAGCUCUUUGCGAGCGAACAGGACUAGGACCUCCCAGGAAAGGACGUUUCAAGUUUCUUGCAGCAGAGCUUCCUAGAGAGAAGUCCACAGAGAAAGUCGUGGCCC